rnacentral:lncRNA from 1 species
CUCCACCGCCACCAUCUUCAUCUCCUCCACCACCAUAUUAUUACAAGUCCACUCCCCCGCCAUCACCAUCACCUCCUCCACCAUACUAUUACAAAUCCCCGCCACCACCAUCUCCAUCACCUCCACCUCCCUAUUACUACAACUCUCCAUCACCACCAUCACCAUCACCCCCUCCGCCAUACUACUACAAAUCACCACCGCCCCCAU